AGCAGCCGCGGUAAUUCCAGCUCCAAUAGCGUAUAUUAAAGUUGUUGCAGUUAAAAAGCUCGCAGUUGAAUUUCGGGAUUGACACAUCGGUCGUGCCUUAAGGGGUAUGAACUGGUGUAGUCAAUUUCUCACCUUCUGGAGAACCGCGAUGCCCUUAAUUGGGUGUCGCGGGGAACCAGGACCUUUACUUUGAAAAAUUAGAGUGUUUAAAGCAGGCAUUUUGCUUGAAUACAUUAGCAUGGAAUAAUAAAAUAGGACGGCAUGAUUCUACUUUGUUGGUUUCUAGGAUCACCGUAAUGAUUAAUAGGGAUAGUUGGGGGCAUUAGUAUUCAAUUGUCAGAGGUGAAAUUCUUGGAUUUAUUGAAGACUAACUACUGCGAAAGCAUUUGCCAAGGAUGUUUUCAUUAAUCAAGAACGAAAGUUAGGGGAUCGAAGACGAUCAGAUACCGUCGUAGUCUUAACCAUAAACUAUGCCGACUAGGAAUCAGACGAUGUUAAUUUUUAAUGUACUCG
rnacentral:rRNA from 1 species